CACUCUUGAUUCUCUUCAGAUCGUAUAAAUCUUUCGCCUUUUACUAAAGAUUUCCGUGGAGAGGAUCAACAAGAGUUUAUCCUAAUUUUUUGAUGCCCUGCGCAAGCGGGGCU
rnacentral:snRNA from 1 species